UGGGGAAUAUUGGACAAUGGGCGCAAGCCUGAUCCAGCCAUGCCGCGUGAGUGAAGAAGGCCUUAGGGUUGUAAAACUCUUUCGCCGGGGAAGAUAAUGACGGUACCCGGAGAAGAAGCUCCGGCUAACUUCGUGCCAGCAGCCGCGGUAAUACGAAGGGAGCUAGCGUUGUUCGGAAUUACUGGGCGUAAAGCGCACGUAGGCGGACUUGUCAGUCAGGGGUGAAAUCCCAAGGCUCAACCUUGGAACUGCCUCCGAUACAGCAAGCCUAGAGAUCGGGAGAGGUGAGUGGAAUUCCUAGUGUAGAGGUGAAAUGCGUAGAUAUCGGGAGGAACACCUGUGGCGAAGGCGGCCACCUGGUUGGAUACUGACGCUGAGACGCGAAAGCGUGGGGAGCAAA
rnacentral:rRNA from 1 species